GUCGCGCAUCGCAUCGUCACGCUAGAUUUCUCAACGUGCAAUUUGAUCCUACGUUACGUUCUCUUAAUCGUUCCUCCGUGACACACUUCGGCGAGUCCCUGGUUUCUGCGUCGACGAGGAUUUCUUUUUCUCGAAGCUAACAUAUAAUAAGCUGGAUCGCGUCGACUUCGAGUAAAUUUCGAAUAUAAAAUGAAUAGCGACGAUACUAACUUAGGCUGCCGUCCCUUUGCAUAACCAACGCAAAUGUCAUUGUUGCAAGAUAAAUGUAUGGUACAGGGCAGAACAGUGCGGAGAAAAAACAGACGCCUCGUUAUCCCUGCUCGAAAGGAUAACACGUGCCGACUAAUCGUCGGUCAAAGAAAAAUCGAGGACAAUGGCUGCCGAAUGCGCUGAAUCUUGGCAGCCCGUCGACUGUGAACGCUGUUCCGCAAUUUUUCUGCGAUCGUUUCUGCGAAUUCACCGUCUUGACCAUCUCCGGUUCCACGAUCUUGGAAACAAAAAUGGACAAUUUGGGAAGAGGAGGUAUCAAAUUUAUUUAUCCCCAUUCACGAUCGAAAAGAGGCAAAGCUUCGAGCAGCAACAAGUUACGUAAACAAUCUGGAGAGAAGUUUAAUUUAAGGAGCGCCGCGAACGCAUGAACGCCCACUGUUAAAACAUUAACAGCUGCGAGAAAAAAUGGUAGCAGGUGGACCGAGGGAGAAGCAUGGCAAGCGUGGGCGUCGAGGGCAUCGUCCUCUGUUUUUUGACCACAUGUGUGAUCGAAUGUGGGUGUGUGGCCGUGCGUCCAGCUGACCGUGGUUUAAACAACGCUGAGACACGUCUGCGAUAAACUAUAAUAACUGGUUAAUUAAAUCUAACGAGAUCGAGAUAUUAAUUGUUUCUCGAGCUUCGACGAAUCGCACACUUUCUGCCAAGCUGUUGUCGGCCACGCUUAGGUCGAACCUUGUUAAACAAAUUUAUGAACAAGAUUUAUGAAGCUUGUGAACCAAAGUACUCGCACUUGAUCGCAGUAAUCGCAUCGUUCGCAAUUAGAUCCUACGUUGUUCGGUCAAUUUAUGAACAUGAGGCCACUAAGAAUCAUUUAAUUAUCUCUAAUUUUCUGCCAGCCUGAAAUAAUAAUUACAUGUUCAUAAAAUUAUAUCGUUUCCCCCGGGAAUCGCGAUCGUUAAUCGACUCCCCGAGGCUGCGGUCGAAUCCGAAACGACGAUUCCGAUCGGCGAAACGAUACGGAAAUGAAAGAACAUUGCGCGGCGCGGAUCGUAACAGAUGGGUAGAGGGGACGCGUGCAAAAAGCCCUAUUUCUCCUCGAUCAAUUCGUUUCCCGAUGCGUAAAAAAUCGUGACAGCCGCGUAACCCGUUGUCCAUACGGUUCAACCACGCCUCGAAGCUCGCGCGAACGGGAAACGGGACAACGUUCGACUGUGUAUAGCGGAUGGAAGGCGAAGAGGAGAGCUCGGUGAAAGAGAGGAAAAGAGAGAGGUGGCUUUAUCGUAGCGGCGGCCGGGAGAAAGGUACCGUAAAGUAUCGUGAGACC